GAUGAACGCUGGCGGCGUGCCUAAUACAUGCAAGUCGGGCGAACAGAUGAGGAGCUUGCUCCUCUGACGUGAGCGGCGGACGGGUGAGUAACACGUGGCUAACCUACCUAUAAGACUGGGGUAACUUCGGGAAACCGGAGCUAAUACCGGAUAAUAUAUUGAACCGCAUGGUUCAAUAGUGAAAGACGGUUUUGCUGUCACUUAUAGAUGGAUCCGCGCCGCAUUAGCUAGUUGGUAAGGUAACGGCUUACCAAGGCAACGAUGCGUAGCCGACCUGAGAGGGUGAUCGGCCACACUGGAACUGAGACACGGUCCAGACUCCUACGGGAGGCAGCAGUAGGGAAUCUUCCGCAAUGGGCGAAAGCCUGACGGAGCAACGCCGCGUGAGUGAAGAAGGUCUUCGGAUCGUAAAACUCUGUUAUUAGGGAAGAACAAAUGUGUAAGUAACUAUGCACGUCUUGACGGUACCUAAUCAGAAAGCCACGGCUAACUACGUG
rnacentral:rRNA from 1 species